UGAGGAAUAUUGGUCAAUGGGGGAAACCCUGAACCAGCGACGCCGCGUGCGGGAUGAAGGGGCUUUGCCCUGUAAACCGCUGUCGGAGGGGAAGAAAAGAUGGCUCGGUCAUCUGGGACUGUACCCUCAAAGGAAGGACCGGCUAACUACGUGCCAGCAGCCGCGGUAAUACGUAGGGUCCAAGCGUUGUCCGGAAUCACUGGGUGUAAAGGGUGCGCAGGCGGGCUUGUGCGUCAGAGGUUAAAGACCCCGGCUUAACCGGGGAAGUGCCUUUGAUACGGCAAGUCUUGAGUACGAGAGAGGAAGGUGGAAUUCCUGGUGUAGCGGUGAAAUGCGUAGAGAUCUGAAGGAACACCAGUGGCGAAGGCGACUUACUGGCUUAAAACUGACGCUGAGGUACGAAAGCGUGGGUAGCAAACAGG
rnacentral:rRNA from 1 species